AUCACACUGAAACACAAUGGACUACAGAUCUGGACUGCUGUUUUCUAUGAUCUGCUUUACCGGCAUUUACUGUCAGACUCUGAGAGAAUCUGAACCAGUGGUUAAAAGACCAGGAGAGUCUCACAAACUGACCUGUACAGCCUCUAGAUUCACAUUCAGCAGCUACUGGAUGGCCUGGAUUAGACAGGCUCCUGGGAAGGGACUGGAAUGGCUAGCUUAUAUCAGUAGUGGUGGUGGUGGUAGCACCUAUUAUUCUCAGUCAGUCCAAGGCAGGUUCACCAUCUCCAGAGACAACAGCAAAAAGCAGCUGUAUCUGCAGAUAAACAGCCUGAGAACAGAAGAUUCUGCUGUUUAUUAUUGUGCUCGAGAGGCACAGUGACUGGAGUCAGUUCAGCAGCUGUACAAAAACCUCAAACUGAUCCGUUGUUCAGAAUUUUACCUUUUUUAUAUGAGAACUAAUUUCACUAAAUA